AUUGAACGCUGGCGGCAUGCCUUACACAUGCAAGUCGAGCGGUAACAGGUCUUCGGAUGCUGACGAGUGGCGAACGGGUGAGUAAUACAUCGGAACGUGCCUAGUAGUGGGGGAUAACUACUCGAAAGAGUGGCUAAUACCGCAUGAGAUCUACGGAUGAAAGCAGGGGAUCGCAAGACCUUGUGCUACUAGAGCGGCCGAUGGCAGAUUAGGUAGUUGGUGGGAUAAAAGCUUACCAAGCCGACGAUCUGUAGCUGGUCUGAGAGGAACGAUCAGCCACACUGGGACUGAGACACGGCCCAGACUCCUACGGGAGGCAGCAGUGGGGAAUUUUGGACAAUGGGCGCAAGCCUGAUCCAGCAAUGCCGCGUGCAGGAUGAAGGCCUUCGGGUUGUAAACUGCUUUUGUACGGAACGAAAAGCCCUGGUUAAUACCCUGGGGUCAUGACGGUACCGUAAGAAUAAGCACCGGCUAACUACGUGCCAGCCGCCGCCGUAACAC
rnacentral:rRNA from 1 species